UACGAAGGGGGCUAGCGUUGUUCGGAAUUACUGGGCGUAAAGGGCGCGUAGGCGGUGUGUCAAGUCAGGCGUGAAAGCCCCGGGCUCAACCUGGGAACCGCGCUUGAGACUGGCACGCUAGAGUUCGGGAGAGGAUGGUGGAAUUCCCAGUGUAGAGGUGAAAUUCGUAGAUAUUGGGAAGAACACCGAUGGCGAAGGCAGCCAUCUGGACCGACACUGACGCUGAGGCGCGAACGCGUGGGGAGCAAACAGG
rnacentral:rRNA from 1 species